GGCGUAAAGCGAGCGCAGGCGGUUAGAUAAGUCUGAAGUUAAAGGCUGUGGCUUAACCAUAGUACGCUUUGGAAACUGUUUAACUUGAGUGCAGAAGGGGAGAGUGGAAUUCCAUGUGUAGCGGUGAAAUGCGUAGAUAUAUGGAGGAACACCGGUGGCGAAAGCGGCUCUCUGGUCUGUAACUGACGCUGAGGCUCGAAAGCGUGGGGAGCAAACAGGAUUAGAUACCCUGGUAGUCCGCACAGUAAACGAUGGAUGCCCGCUGUUGGUACCUGGUAUCAGCGGCUAAGCGAAAGCAUUAAGCAUCCCACCUGGGGAGUACGCCGGCAACGGUGAAACUCAAAGGAAUUGACGGGGGCCCGCACAAGCGGAGGAACAUGUGGUUUAAUUCGAUGAUACGCGAGGAACCUUACCCGGGCUUGAAUUGCAGAGGAAGGAUUUAGAGAUA
rnacentral:rRNA from 1 species